UACAGAGGGGGCAAGCGUUGUUCGGAAUUACUGGGCGUAAAGGGCGCGUAGGCGGCCUGUUAAGUCGAACGUGAAAUCCCUGGGCUCAACCCAGGAACUGCGUCCGAUACCGGCAGGCUUGAAUUCGGGAGAGGGAUGCGGAAUUCCAGGUGUAGCGGUGAAAUGCGUAGAUAUCUGGAGGAACACCGGUGGCGAAGGCGGCAUCCUGGACCGAUAUUGACGCUGAGGCGCGAAAGCCAGGGGAGCAAACGGG
rnacentral:rRNA from 1 species